rnacentral:rRNA from 1 species
GACGAACGCUGGCGGCGUGCCUAAUACAUGCAAGUAGAACGCUGAAGCGAGGAGCUUGCUCUUCUUGGAUGAGUUGCGAACGGGUGAGUAACGCGUAGGUAACCUGCCUUGUAGCGGGGGAUAACUAUUGGAAACGAUAGCUAAUACCGCAUAACAAUGGAUGACACAUGUCAUUUAUUUGAAAGGGGCAAUUGCUCCACUACAAGAUGGACCUGCGUUGUAUUAGCUAGUAGGUGAGGUAACGGCUCACCUAGGCGACGAUACAUAGCCGACCUGAGAGGGUGAUCGGCCACACCGGGACUGAGACACGGCCCAGACUCCUACGGGAGGCAGCAGUAGGGAAUCUUCGGCAAUGGGGGCAACCCUGACCGAGCAACGCCGCGUGAGUGAAGAAGGGUUUCGGAUCGUAAAGCUCUGUUGUAAGUCAAGAACGAGUGUGAGAGUGGAAAGUUCACACUGUGACGGUAGCUUACCAGAAAGAGACGGCUAACUACGUG